rnacentral:rRNA from 1 species
GACAGAGGGUGCAAACGUUGCUCGGAAUUACUGGGCGUAAAGCGUGCGCAGGCGGUGAUGUAAGACAGGUGUGAAAUCCCCGGGCUUAACCUGGGAACUGCAUUUGUGACUGCAUCGCUGGAGUGCGGCAGAGGGGGAUGGAAUUCCGCGUGUAGCAGUGAAAUGCGUAGAUAUGCGGAGGAACACCGAUGGCGAAGGCAAUCCCCUGGGCCUGCACUGACGCUCAUGCACGAAAGCGUGGGGAGCAAACAGG